UUUCUCCCAAGCAUUCAUCUUCAUUUCCAAGUGAAUGAAAGGGGAGUUCAGUGGUACCACUGUCUGUGAGGCAGUGUUAAUAGUUCAGCCAGGAAAACAACUGGACAAAUGACUGGAGGGAUGUGAAAAUCUAACAUAAAGAAAGGCUUUUAAUAUGUCAAUGUGGAGUACUCAGAGGUUUGUGGGAACUAAUUUAUUUUUAUGGUGAGAAUAAAAAUACCCACAAAUAUAAACAAAUAUAUACAUGCGUUCUUACUGGAUUAAUACAAUUGGUUGGUCAAGAAGCAGCCAUUGGGGCCUGGAGAGAUGGCAAGGCCCACAGGAGGAUCUGAGGUAGAAUUCCAAGCAUCUAUGUAAAAUUCCAGCAGUGGGAUAAUUUCCUGAUACAGAAGCCAGGGAACAUAUAUUUAAUUUAAACAAAGAAGCAGAUACCCGGGGUUUUGAAAGUCCGGAGUAACAUUUACAUUAAUGGAAAGUACUACUUGAACAUGGAAGCACUAACGUGUGGGUAAGGAAUAGUCAAGAUGUCUGCCAAGAGAGAUUCUAGCUGCUUUGAGCCCUCAUCCAGUGGCUGAUGGAAGCCGAGGCAGACACCCACAGAUUCACACUGAACUGAACUCUGGAACUUAGUUGCAGAGAGAGAGGAAUGAAGAUCAAAGGGGUCAGUACCAGGCGGUGAAACCCACAGGAACAGCUGGCCUGUACAGGUGGAGCACAUGGACCCCAGACUGCUGUCUGGGUGGCCAGUACAGGACUGAUCCAGACCCCUGAACAUGGAUGUCAAUUAGGAGGCCUCUGCACUCUAGGGGGCCCUUGGUGGUGGAUUAGUAUUUUUCCCUGGUGUAAGAAGGGACUUUGAGAGCCCAUCCCACGUGAAGGGAUGCACUCUCCUUCUGGACACAUGGGGAAGGGCCUAGGCCCGACCCAGGAUGAUGUGGUGGACUUUGGGGAGCCCACAUUGAGGGCCCUACCAUGC
rnacentral:lncRNA from 1 species